rnacentral:rRNA from 1 species
UUGAACGCUGGCGGCAGGCCUAACACAUGCAAGUCGAGCGGCAGCGCGGGGCAACCUGGCGGCGAGCGGCGGACGGGUGAGUAACGCGUAGGAAUCUACCCAGUAGCGGGGGAUAGCCCGGGGAAACUCGGAUUAAUACCGCAUACGCCCUAAGGGGGAAAGCAGGGGAUCUUCGGACCUUGCACUAUUGGCAGAGCCUGCGUUGGAUUAGCUAGUUGGUAGGGUAAAGGCCUACCAAGGCAACGAUCCAUAACUGGUCUGAGAGGAUGAUCAGUCACACCGGAACUGAGACACGGUCCGGACUCCGACGGGAGGCAGCAGUGGGGAAUAUUGGACAAUGGGGGCAACCCUGAUCCAGCCAUGCCGCGUGUGUGAAGAAGGCCUUCGGGUUGUAAAGCACUUUAAGUGGGGAGAAAGGUUCGGCAGUUAAUACCUGCCGGAAGUGAUGUUACCCACAGAAUAAGCACCGGCUAACUCUGUGCCAGCCGCCGCCGUAA